rnacentral:lncRNA from 1 species
ACAGAACAUUGCGGUAGAAUAAACCUAACCUAGGAACGUGACUUGUGGUAGACAGGGUUUUUUUUUAGGUGUCAACAAACUAACUGCAAUAAGGAUCCACCAGGGAUGAAGUGGACCACUUUCCAACUCCUUCUAGGAGCGCUAAGACAUCAGAAGCCCAGUGUCCUGUGCCAAGGAUUCCAAAGUCAACCAUGUGGAAAACAAUAAAGAUUCCUGUCAACAUACUUAGUAAACACCUGACUGGAGACUCUUCUGGUAUUAAAAUCCAUAAUGACAAAUAAAUGAUGUUCACAUUGUUUCAUCUCCUCCCGCCACGCAUAGGGAAAGAGCCAACGUCACAUGAAUGCCUUUCAUCUACCAUCAUUAAUGCACAGAGUUCUUGAGAGGUGCCUUCUGCACUCCGAAGCGCAGAGGUGCUUUCUUCACAUGCAUAUGUGAAUUUUCAUCCACUGUGGAGACUGAUUCAUUGUCACCAGGG